AUUGAACGCUGGCGGCAGGCCUAACACAUGCAAGUCGAGCGGAGCGGCGGACGGGUGAGGAAUGCUUAGGAAUCUGCCUGGUAGUGGGGGAUAACGUCCGGAAACGGGCGCUAAUACCGCAUACUAUCAGAUGAGCCUAGGUCGGAUUAGCUUGUUGGUGGGGUAAAGGCCUACCAAGGCGACGAUCCGUAACUGGGCUGAGAGGUUGAUCAGUCACACUGGAACUGAGACACGGUCCAGACUCCUACGGGAGGCAGAAAUGGGCAAUAUUGGACAAUGGGCUAAAGCCGGCUCCAGCCAUGCCGCGUGUGUGAAGAAGGUCUUCGGAUUGUAAAGCACUUUAAGUUGGGAGGCGUUACCAACAGGAUUAGCACCGGCUCACUUCGUGCCAGCCGCCGCGGUAAUAC
rnacentral:rRNA from 1 species